rnacentral:tRNA from 1 species
GUUUUAAUAGUUUAAAUAAAAUUAUGAUCUUGUAAAUCAUAGAUAGGAAUAUCCUUUAAAACU